rnacentral:rRNA from 1 species
UACGUAGGGCGCAAGCGUUAUCCGGAAUUAUUGGGCGUAAAGAGCUCGUAGGCGGUUUGUCGCGUCUGCCGUGAAAGUCCGGGGCUCAACUCCGGAUCUGCGGUGGGUACGGGCAGACUAGAGUGAUGUAGGGGAGACUGGAAUUCCUGGUGUAGUGGUGAAAUGCGUAGAGAUCGGCAGGAACACCCAGGGGGAAACCAGUGGACUGGGCAUGGGCUGACGCUCAGGUGCGAAAGCGUGGGGAGCGAACCGG